rnacentral:tRNA from 1 species
GCACAGGUGUCAGAGUGGUCUAUUGAGGUGGAUUGCAAAUCCAUUGUUCAGCGGUUCGAAUCCGCUCUUGUGCUCCA